CGUGUAGGCGGUCUUUUAAGUCUGAUGUGAAAGCCCCGGGCUCAACCUGGGAAGUGCAUUGGAAACUGGGAGACUUGAGUACGGGAGAGGGUAGUGGAAUUCCCAGUGUAGGAGUGAAAUCCGUAGAUAUUGGGAGGAACACCGGUGGCGAAGGCGGCUACCUGGACCGAUACUGACGCUGAGACGCGAAAGCGUGGGGAGCAAACAGGAUUAGAUACCCUGGUAGUCCACGCCGUAAACGAUGAGUACUAGGUGUCGCGGGUAUUGACCCCUGCGGUGCCGCAGCUAACGCAUUAAGUACUCCGCCUGGGAAGUACGGUCGCAAGACUAAA
rnacentral:rRNA from 1 species